rnacentral:rRNA from 1 species
CCUACGGGAGGCAGCAGUGAGGAAUAUUGGUCAAUGGGCUUACGCCUGAACCAGCGACGCCGCGUGAGUGAAGAAGUAUUUCGGUACGUAAAGCUCUAUCAGCAGGAAAAAAAAUGACGGUACCUGACUAAGAAGCCCCGGCUAACUACGCGCCAGCAGCCGCGGUAAUAGGUAGGGGGCAAGCGUUAUCCGGAUUUACUGGGUGUAAAGGGAGCGUAGACGGGAGAGCAAGUCUGGAGUGAAAUGUCGGGGCCCAACCCCGGAACUGCACUGGAAACUGGGAAGCUGGAGUGCAGGAGAGGUAAGCGGAAUUCCUGGUGUAGCGGUGAAAUGCGUAGAUAUCAGGAGGAACACCGGCGGCGAAGGCGGCUUACUGGACUGUAACUGACGUUGAGGCUCGAAGGCGUGGGGAGCAAACAGGAUUAGAUACCCUAGUAGUC